UGUAAGCGUAUACCAAAGUUGUUGCAGUUAAAACGCUCGUAGUCGGAAUUUGGCAGUUCCGGAAGUGUGCACGUCGUGUGCGCACUUUGCGGGGACUGCUUUUGUGGUCUUGCGUAGGAUGAGGCACUUUCAUUAGUGAACGUCCUCACGCAACCACUCUUUACUGUGAGAAAAUCAGAGUGCUCAAAGCAGGCAUUUGCCGUGAAUGUAUUAGCAUGGAAUAAUAGAAUAGGACUCGGUUCUAUUUUGUUGGUUUGUUGGGACUGAGUAAUGAUUAAGAGGGACAGUUGGGGGCAUUUGUAUUUCGGUGCUAGAGGUGAAAUUCUUAGAUUACCGAAAGACAAACUGCUGCGAAAGCGUCUGCCAAGGAUGUUUUCAUUGA
rnacentral:rRNA from 1 species